rnacentral:rRNA from 1 species
UACGUAGGGGGCGAGCGUUGUCCGGAUUUAUUGGGCGUAAAGAGCUCGUAGGCGGUUUGUCGCGUCGGCCGUGAAAUCUCCACGCUUAACGUGGAGCGUGCGGUCGAUACGGGCAGACUUGAGUUCGGUAGGGGAGACUGGAAUUCCUGGUGUAGCGGUGAAAUGCGCAGAUAUCAGGAGGAACACCGGUGGCGAAGGCGGGUCUCUGGGCAGUAACUGACGCUGAGGAGCGAAAGCGUGGGGAGCGAACAGG